CUUCUGCACCUCCCUCCCCUCCAAAAAGAGAGCCAGACUGCAAUACAAAUGGACUCCUCAAGGUCUAGGGAGUUCGUCUUUCUUAAGUCCUGGCCCUCAGUUCCCUAAGAUAGUUACUACUCUGCAGUUACAAGUGCGAGUUACCACCUAAAAUUGCCAACAGAAAUUAAGGUCCUGCGCAGCAAAACGUUUAUACCACUGCUGGGGCCACUCAGCAGGGUGUGGAGGCGGGGAGGGAGGAGGAGUAAAGGCUGUUUACAAACUUGACUUACACACGCAGCACUAUCAAGUAAGGUUCUGGAACUGUGGGUUACAGCCUUGGGAUCUGGGCACACUCUGAUGCUCUGGUUCCAGCACCUGACUUAUACGCACCCAGAUCAAACAACCUUUCCAAGAACAGAAGGAUUCCAGGAGUCCCGGGGCAGCGAUGACUCAUGCAGCACCCCCUGCCAUUUCGCCAAAUUGCCGUCUCCGCCCACCCCCAAUCUCAACGACGCACCGCGACUCUGGGAGCUUUGCUGGGGGCUAAAGGGGGUUCGUCUUCAUCCUCGCAUCCCAGCAGCCUAAACCUCCCUCCUCUCAGUCUACAAGCUUGCUUCCCUUCCCACCCGACCCCUCGGUUGAGCAGUGGAGAUAGAUGCGACAUCAACAUUUGGGACUCGCGAGCCACGAACAACAGGGCGCGAAGGGGGCAGCCAAGAGCCCUGGGGUUCAUGGAAAGUUUAUUCCUCAACACAGCGUUCCUGCUGCUGCUGCUAAGUCACUUCAGUCGUGUCCAACUCUGUGCGACCCCAUAGACGGCAGCCCACCAGGCUCCCCCGUCCCUGGGAUUCUCCAGGCAAGAACAUUGGAGUGGGUUGCCAUUUCCUGCUCCAAUGCAUGAAAGUGAAAAGUGAAAGUGAAGUCGCUCAGUUGUGUCCCGACUCUUCGCGAACCUGGAUGAUGGGUAGCGCGCCAGGCUCUUCUGUCCAUGGGAUUCUCCAGGCAAGAAUACUGGAGUGGAUUGACAUGCCCAGGGGUCGAACACGUGUCUUUCAUGUCUCCUGCAUCGGCAGAUUCUGAGCAGUAAUGAUGAGAAUGGCUGAAAUGACUACUGCAACAAGUUUUGAGAAAAGACCUCCAUUUGUCUGUUUCAUUUGAGAUGUCAAUAUGACAGAUUCAAGAGAACAAGGCAAGUAAAACAAAUGUGUAUAUGAAGAUUUUCAAAGAACAUGUCCAAUAAACUGAUCUAGUACUCUUGACAGACUGCUCUCCCUUCCUCCCCCAGCCCAUCCUUUGAGGUUAUCCAAAGAGGCCAGAGUGUGGAGAGUGAGACUGUGUGAACAGAUUGACAAAGAGGCUUUGUGGGUGAGAGUUCCUGCAUCUUGUGUGACUCUUCAUCUUGUUUGUGGUUUUCUUUUGUUUUUGGAGGAAGGGAAGGCAUUCUACCAUCUAACCCAGAGUCAAGAAACUGCAAUCUGCAAGUCAGAUCUGGUGUACUGCCUGGUUUGGUACAGUCAUGAGUUCAUAAUGGCUUUUACAUUUGUCAAAUGUAAAAUGUGCAGGGGAAUUAUAAAUAAUUUGUGACCAAUGAAAGUUCACUGUAACUCAAAUUUCAGUGUCCAUAAGUAAAAUGCUACUGAAGACACCCACCCAAUAUUUAAAUAACAUUACCUAUGGCUGCUUUGGCACUACAAUAAUGGAGGGUUCAUCUUUAUAGAAGUUUGCAGACCUCUGGUUUUACCAGAAGUCUGCUGGAAGGAGGUUUCAUGACACAGUUGAAGAACUUUGAAAUGUGUCCCCUGUGUUUGAGAGAUUUAGAUGACUGAUGUCUGAUUCAGGGCUGAAUCAACAAACAAAAAGGUCUGAAUCCCAACAAAAAUGGCCUGUAGCCCAGGGACUGCCUCCUUCCAGGGAAACCAAAGGCCAGAGAAGGGUCGCCCAGCUGCUCUGGUACAAGCUCUGGGAGAAGGCUGCUGUGCUGCAUGUUGGGGAAUGGAUGCAUGAGCAUUUCCUAAGGAUAAGAUUUGGGACAUAUGAGAGAGCACUGGUGUGGAAGUGCUGCCUUUUUGGCUGCCUGGGAAGAACAAGAGGAAGAAGCAGAGUUGGAUGUGCUCCCCUGGAGGCCUAAGAGUUAAGGACACAUUCACAAGGGACCAUCUGAAAGAGCCAUUGCUUUACUUUUUUGCCAGUGCUGAAGUUGCCUGGCCAAGUACCAGCCUUUCUAUCCUGCUCUGAGACAGAAUUUAACAAAGAGAAGGUGACAGGGAAGGCAAGAGGUGACAAAAGCUAGUCAUUCCCUAUCCAUUCUCUGCAGCUUUAAGAUUACCUUCACUAAUCUGAAUUAAGUUUAAAGAGAUAGUGGAAAUGGAGAGCUUUGUUUUAUUAAUGGCGGGAGCCAUGCAUAUCCAAUCUUCCAUUUACAGGAUUUAACUGAUCAGUUCCAAUAUACCAGGGCUCUAUAGCAUAUUGUCAUUUAUUAUGACAACUCUAUGAGACUGAUAUUAAUAUACCCAUUUUAUGGGUGAAGAAAUUAAGGUUCAGAGUUUGAAUGAUAUACCCAAGGUCUCAUGCCAUUGAGUGGCAGAGCCAGGAUUUAGUCUAUUGGAUGUUCAAAUGCAUCCUCUUUUCAUUGUACCUUGGGGAAUUUUAUCUUAGAAAUUAUAGUUUUGAUGCUAUAUUUGUAUCCAGAGCCCAUAGUGUGCAUCAUGCACUAUUGCUGUGAAGAAAUAAACAUUCAGUCAAGUUAACUUAAAAGACAGGGGUGUAUUUCAAUGUUCACUGAAGCACUAGUUACACUAGCCAAGACAUGGAAGCAACCUGAGUGUCCACAGACAGAUGAAUGGAUAAAGAAGAUGUGGUAUACAUAUACAAUGGGAUAUUACUCAGCCAUA